rnacentral:rRNA from 1 species
GAUGAACGCUGGCGGCGUGCUUAACACAUGCAAGUCGAACGAAGCACCUGGAUUUGAUUCUUCGGAUGAAGAUCCUUGUGACUGAGUGGCGGACGGGUGAGUAACGCGUGGGUAACCUGCCUCGUACAGGGGGAUAACAGUUAGAAAUGACUGCUAAUACCGCAUAAGACCACAGGGUCGCAUGACCUGGUGGGAAAAACUCCGGUGGUAUGAGAUGGACCCGCGUCUGAUUAGGUAGUUGGUGGGGUAACGGCCUACCAAGCCGACGAUCAGUAGCCGACCUGAGAGGGUGACCGGCCACAUUGGGACUGAGAUACGGCCCAAACUCCUACGGGAGGCAGCAGUGGGGAAUAUUGCACAAUGGGGGAAACCCUGAUGCAGCGACGCCGCGUGAGCGAAGAAGUAUUUCGGUAUGUAAAGCUCUAUCAGCAGGGAAGAAAAUGACGGUACCUGACUAAGAAGCACCGGCUAAAUACGUGCCAGCAGCCGCGGUAAUACGUAUGGUGCAAGCGUUAUCCGGAUUUACUGGGUGUAAAGGGAGCGUAGACGGCUGUGUAAGUCUGAAGUGAAAGCCCGGGGCUCAACCCCGGGACUGCUUUGGAAACUAUGCAGCUAGAGUGUCGGAGAGGUAAGUGGAAUUCCCAG